UAUCUAGAAUUCUAAUAGUUUGCACUACAAUGUCAAUUAACUCACAGGUUAGUUAAUGACAGACAGUCAGUGAGUGUGUGUGUGUCCAACUCUUCCUCACAGGUUAGUUAAUGACAGACAGUCAGUGAGUGUGUGUGUGUCCAACUCUUCCUCACAGGUUAGUUAAUGACAGACAGUCAGUGAGUGUGUGUGUGUCCAACUCUUCCUCACAGGUUAGUUAAUGACAGACAGUCAGUGAGUGUGUGUGUGUCCAACUCUUCCUCACAGGUUAGUUAAUGACAGACAGUCAGUGAGUGUGUGUGUGUCCAACUCUUCCUCACAGGUUAGUUAAUGACAGACAGUGAGUGUGUGUGUGUCCAACUCUUCCUCACAGGUUAGUUAAUGACAGACAGUCAGUGAGUGUGUCUGUGUCCAACUCUUCCUCACAGGUUAGUUAAUGACAGACAGUCAGUGAGUGUGUGUGUGUCCAACUCUUCCUCACAGGUUAGUUAAUGACAGACAGUCAGUGAGUGUGUGUGUGUCCAACUCUUCCUCACAGGUUAGUUAAUGAUGUUACUGAGUCAAUGUGAGCAGAUUGUGUCUGUAGACUGAAGAGAAUCAGAGUCUCACUGAUGGUGGAAAUAAAGGUUUUACUUCCUUAAAACA